GAUGAACGCUGGCGGCGUGCCUAAUACAUGCAAGUCGAACGGAAGGUAGCAAUACCUUUAGUGGCGAACGGGUGAGUAACGCGUUGGUGACCUGCCCCGAAGCGUGGGAUAACAGUCCGAAAGGAUUGCUAAUACCGCAUGUGGUCCAAGAGAUUAGAGGCUUAUGGACUAAAGGAGACAUUCACUUCGGGAGGGGCCUGCGUCCCAUCAGCUAGUUGGUAGGGUAACGGCCUACCAAGGCGAUGACGGGUAGGGGACCUGAGAGGGUGGCCCCCCACAAUGGAACUGAAACACGGUCCAUACACCUACGGGUGGCAGCAGUAGGGAAUAUUGCAAAAUGGGCGCAAGCCCGAUGCAGCAACGCCGCGUGGGCGAUGAAGGCCUUCGGGUCGUAAAGCCCUUUUUGAGGGGAUGAGGAAGGACAGUACCCUCAGAAUAAGCCUCGGCUAACUACGUG
rnacentral:rRNA from 1 species